rnacentral:piRNA from 1 species
UGUGAUCGAUGUUUGCCUUUGAACAC